UACGUAGGGUGCAAGCGUUAAUCGGAAUUACUGGGCGUAAAGCGCACGUAGGCGGCUUUGUAAGUUAGAGGUGAAAGCCCGGGGCUCAACUCCGGAAUUGCCUUUAAGACUGCAUCGCUAGAAUUGUGGAGAGGUAAGUGGAAUUCCGAGUGUAGAGGUGAAAUUCGUAGAUAUUCGGAAGAACACCAGUGGCGAAGGCGGCCCGCUGGGCAGUGGCUGACGCUGAGGCGCGACAGCGGUGGGGGAGCAAACAGG
rnacentral:rRNA from 1 species